CUUGCUUUCUUUGCUGGCGACCGGCGCACGGGUGAGUAACACGUAUCCAACCUGCCCUUUACUCGGGGAUAGCCUUUCGAAAGAAAGAUUAAUACCCGAUAGCAUAAUGAUUCCGCAUGGUUUCAUUAUUAAAGGAUUCCGGUAAAGGAUGGGGAUGCGUUCCAUUAGGUUGUUGGUGAGGUAACGGCUCACCAAGCCUUCGAUGGAUAGGGGUUCUGAGAGGAAGGUCCCCCACAUUGGAACUGAGACACGGUCCAAACUCCUACGGGAGGCAGCAUG
rnacentral:rRNA from 1 species